UACGAAGGGGGCUAGCGUUGCUCGGAAUUACUGGGCGUAAAGGGAGCGUAGGCGGACAGUUUAGUCAGAGGUGAAAGCCCAGGGCUCAACCUUGGAAUUGCCUUUGAUACUGACUGUCUUGAGUAUGGGAGAGGUUAGCGGAACUCCGAGUGUAGAGGUGAAAUUCGUAGAUAUUCGGAAGAAACACCAGUGGCGAAGGGCGG
rnacentral:rRNA from 1 species